UUACUACUCCCUCCGUCCGAAAAUACUUGUCAUCAAAAUGGUUAAAAAGGGAUGUAUCUAGAACUAAAAUACGUCUAGAUACAUCUCCUUUUAUCCAUUUUGAUGACAAGUAUUUCCGGACGCAGGGAGUAUCAC
rnacentral:pre_miRNA from 1 species